UACGUAGGGUCCAAGCGUUAUCCGGAGUUACUGGGCGUAAAGCGUGCGUAGGUGGCGCGUUAAGUGAGGUGUGAAAUCUUGCGGCUCAACCGUGUAGAUUGCAUCUCAUACUGGCGUGCUCGAGGAUGGCAGAGGCAAGUGGAAUUGGCAGUGUAGCAGUGAAAUGCGUAGAUAUUGCCAGGAACACCAAUGGCGAAGGCAGCUUGCUGGGCCACACCUGACACUAAGGCACGAAAGCGUGGGGAGCGAACAGG
rnacentral:rRNA from 1 species